rnacentral:rRNA from 1 species
GUAAACCCAAGGUUUCCAGGGGAAGGUUCGUCCGCCCUGGGUUAGUCGGGACCUAAGCUGAGGCCGAAAGGCGUAGGUGAUGGACAACAGGUUGAUAUUCCUGUACUACCGAUAACCGUUUGGGAGAGGGGAUGACACAGUAGGAUAAGCUAAGCACACUGUUGGUUAUGUGUGCCCAAGCAUUGAGGCAGUCAAAGUAGGCAAAUCCGCUUUGAUAAUGCUGGGAUGUGAUGGGGAGCGAAAUUUAGUA